rnacentral:rRNA from 1 species
CCUACGGGUGGCAGCAGUGGGGAAUAUUGGACAAUGGGCGAAAGCCUGAUCCAGCCAUGCCGCGUGUGUGAAGAAGGCCUUCGGGUUGUAAAGCACUUUCAGUGGGGAAGAAAGCCUUGGGGCUAAUACCCUCGAGGAAGGACAUCACCGACAGAAGAAGCACCGGCUAACUCCGUGCCAGCAGCCGCGGUAAUACGGAGGGUGCGAGCGUUAAUCGGAAUUACUGGGCGUAAAGCGCGCGUAGGCGGUCUGAUAAGCCGGUUGUGAAAGCCCCGGGCUCAACCUGGGAACGGCAUCCGGAACUGUCAGGCUAGAAUGCAGGAGAGGAAGGUAGAAUUCCCGGUGUAGCAGUGAAAUGCGUAGAGAUCGGGAGGAAUACCAGUGGCGAAGGCGGCCUUCUGGACUGACACUGACGCUGAGGUGCGAAAGCGUGGGUAGCAAACAGGAUUAGAUACCCCAGUAGUC